rnacentral:rRNA from 1 species
GACGAACGCUGGCGGCGUGCUUAACACAUGCAAGUCGAACGGAAAGGCCCUGCUUUUGUGGGGUGCUCGAGUGGCGAACGGGUGAGUAACACGUGAGUAACCUGCCCUUGACUUUGGGAUAACUUCAUGAAACUGGGGCUAAUACCGGAUAGGAGCUCCUGCUGCAUGGUGGGGGUUGGAAAGUUUCGGCGGUUGGGGAUGGACUCGCGGCUUAUCAGCUUGUUGGUGGGGUAGUGGCUUACCAAGGCUUUGACGGGUAGCCGGCCUGAGAGGGUGACCGGCCAAAAUGGGACUGAGAUACGGACCAGACUCAUACGGGAGGCAGCAGUGGAGAAUAUUGCAAAAUGGGCGGAAGGCUGAUGCAGCAACGACGCGUGCGGGAUGACGGCCUUCGGGUUGUAAACCGCUUUCGCCAGUGACGAAGCGUGAGUGACGGUAAUGGGUAAAGAAGCACCGGCUAACUACGUG